rnacentral:rRNA from 1 species
AGUGAACGCUGGCGGUAGGCCUAACACAUGCAAGUCGAACGGCAGCACAGUAAGAGCUUGCUCUUCCGGGUGGCCAGUGGCGGACGGGUGAGGAGUACAUCGGAAUCUACUUUUUCGUGGGGGAUAACGUAGGGAAACCUACGCUAAUACAGCAUACGACCCACGGGUGAAAGCGGGGGAUAUUCGGAGCUUGCGCGAAUGAAUGCGCGGCUGUCGGAUUAGCUAGUUGGCGGGGUAAAGGCCAACCAAGGCGACGAUCCGUAGCUGGUCUGAGAGGAUGAUCAGCCACAUGAGAACGGAGACACGGUCCAGACUCCUACGGGAGGCAGCAGUGUGGAAUAGUGGACAAUGGGCGCAAGCCUGAUCCAGCCAUACCGCGUGGGUGAAGAAGGCCUUCGGGUUGUAAAGCCCUUUUGUUGGGAAAGAAAAGCAGCAGGUUAAUACCCCGCUGUUCUGACGGUACCCAAUGAAGAAGCACCGGCUAACUUCGUG